AGCUUUAUAGUUUAAAAAAAACAUUAAUCUUGUAAAUUAAAAUUAAAUAAAUUUUUAAAGCUU
rnacentral:tRNA from 3 species